UAACAGGUCGCUGUGAUCUCUUCGGAGUGAACUUGACGCUGACGAGUGGCGGACGGGUGAGUAAUACUUAGGAAUCUACCCAGUAGUGGGGGACAACUUCCGGAAACGGGAGCUAAUACCGCAUACACCCUAAGGGGAAAAGUGGAGGAUCUUCGGACUUCACGCUAUUGGAUGAGCCUAAGUCGGAUUAGCUUGUUGGUGAGGUAAAGGCUCACCAAGGCAACGAUCCGUAGCUGGUCUGAGAGGACGAUCAGCCACACUGGGACUGAGACACGGCCCAGACUCCUACGGGAGGCAGCAGUGGGGAAUAUUGGACAAUGGGCGCAAGCCUGAUCCAGCAAUACCGCGUGUGUGAAGAAGGCCUGCGGGUUGUAAAGCACUUUCAGUAGAGAAGAAAAGCUUAGGGUUAAUACCCCUGAGUCUUGACGUAACCUACAGAAGAAGCACCGGCUAACUCCGUGCCAGCAGCCGCGGUAAUACGGGGGGUGCAAGCGUUAAUCGGAAUUACUGGGCGUAAAGCGCGCGUAGGCGGUUUGAUCAGUCGGAUGUGAAAGCCCUGGGCUCAACCUGGGAAUGGCAUUCGAUACUGUCAAGCUAGAAUGUGGGAGAGGCAAGUGGAAUUUCCGGUGUAGCGGUGAAAUGCGUAGAGAUCGGAAGGAACACCAGUGGCGAAGGCGGCUUGCUGGCCCAACAUUGACGCUGAGGUGCGAAAGCGUGGGGAGCGAACAGGAUUAGAUACCCUGGUAGUCCACGCCGUAAACGAUGAGAACUAGAUGUCGGAAGGGUUUAGCCUUUCGGUGUCGCAGCUAACGCGUUAAGUUCUCCGCCUGGGGAGUACGGUCGCAAGACUAAAACUCAAAGGAAUUGACGGGGACCCGCACAAGCGGUGGAGCAUGUGGUUUAAUUCGAUGCAACGCGA
rnacentral:rRNA from 1 species